CCAGCUGAAAUACCUGCCUCCAGGUAAGACUGGCCCACAACCAGCUGAAAUACCUGCCUCCAGGUAAUACUGGCCAACAACCAGCUGAAAUACCUGCCUCCAGGUAAGACUGACCCAACAACCAGCUGAAAUACCUGCCUCCAGGUAAGACUGACCCAACAACCAGCUGAAAUACCUGACUCCAGGUAAGACUGACCAACAACCAGCUGAAAUACCUGCCUCCAGGUAAGACUGACCAACAACCAGCUGAAAUACCUGCCUCCAGGUAAGACUGACCAACAACCAGCUGAAAUACCUGCCUCCAGGUAAGACUGACCCAACAACCAGCUGAAAUACCUGCCUCCAGGUAACACUGACCAACAACCAGCUGAAAUACCUGCCUCCAGGUAAGACUGGCCCACAACCAGCUGAAAUACCUGCCUCCAGGUAAGACUGACCAACAACCAGCUGAAAUACCUGCCUCCAGGUAAGACUGGCCCACAACCAGCUGAAAUACCUGCCUCCAGGUAAGACUGAUCCACAACCAGCUGAAAUACCUGCCUCCAGGUAAGACUGACCAACAACCAGCUGAAAUACCUGCCUCCAGGUAAGACUGACCCAACAACCAGCUGAAAAACCUGCCUCCAGGUAAGACUGAUCCACAACCAGCUGAAAUACCUGCCUCCAGGUAAGACUGACCAACAACCAGCUGAAAUACCUGCCUCCAGGUAAGACUGACCCACAACCAGCUGAAAUACCUGCCUCCAGGUAAUACUGGCCAACAACCAGCUGAAAUACCUGCCUCCAGGUAAGACUGACCAACAACCAGCUGAAAUACCUGCCUCCAGGUAAGACUGACCCACAACCAGCUGAAAUACCUGCCUCCAGGUAAUACUGGCCAACAACCAGCUGAAAUACCUGCCUCCAGGUUAGACUGACCAACAACCAGCUGAAAUACCUGCCUCCAGGUAAGACUGACCCACAACCAGCGGAAAUACAUGCCUCCAGGUAAGACUGGCCAACAACCAGCUGAAAUACCGGCCUCCAGGUAAGACUGACCCAACAACCAGCUGAAAUACCUGCCUCCAGGUAAGACUGGCCAACAACCAGCUGAAAUACCUGCCUCCAGGUAAGACUGGCCCACAACCAGCUGAAAUACCUGCCUCCAGGUAAGACUGACCCACAACCAGCUGAAAUACCUGCCUCCAGGUAAGACUGACCCACAACCAGCUGAAAUACCUGCCUCCAGGUAAGACUGGCCAACAACCAGCUGAAAUACCUGCCUCCAGGUAAUACUGGCCAAAAACCAGCUGAAAUACCUGCCUCCAGGUAAUACUGGCCAACAACCAGCUGAAAUACCUGCCUCCAGGUAAGACUGAUCCACAACCAGCUGAAAUACCUGCCUCCAGGUAAGACUGACCAACAACCAGCUGAAAUACCUGCCUCCAGGUAAGACUGGCCCACAACCAGCUGAAAUACCUGCCUCCAGGUAAGACUGGCCCACAACCAGCUGAAAUACCUGCCUCCAGGUAAGACUGACCCACAACCAGCUGAAAUACCUGCCUCCAGGUAAGACUGACCCACAACCAGCUGAAAUACCUGCCUCCAGGUAAGACUGGCCAACAACCAGCUGAAAUACCUGCCUCCAGGUAAGACUGGCCCACAACCAGCUGAAAUACCUGCCUCCAGGUAAGACUGACCCACAACCAGCUGAAAUACCUGCCUCCAGGUAAGACUGACCCACAACCAGCUGAAAUACCUGCCUCCAGGUAAGACUGACCCACAACCAGCUGAAAUACCUGCCUCCAGGUAAGACUGGCCAACAACCAGCUGAAAUACCUGCCUCCAGGUAAUACUGGCCAAAAACCAGCUGAAAUACCUGCCUCCAGGUAAUACUGGCCAACAACCAGCUGAAAUACCUGCCUCCAGGUAAGACUGAUCCACAACCAGCUGAAAUACCUGCCUCCAGGUAAGACUGACCCACAACCAGCUGAAAUACCUGCCUCCAGGUAAGACUGGCCAACAACCAGCUGAAAUACCUGCCUCCAGGUAAGACUGACCCACAACCAGCUGAAAUACCUGCCUCCAGGUAAGACUGGCCCACAACCAGCUGAAAUACCUGCCUCCAGGUAAGACCGACCAACAACCAGCUGAAAUACCUGCCUCCAGGUAAGACUGGCCCACAACCAGCUGAAA